CGUUCGUUCCCGUGGCUUCUGGAGUCUUCUAGAUGACAGAAAAUUGCACGGCACAUUAAUAUCUCUAUGUAAACCUGACAUGUGGGCCUUUCCUCCAUGUUUCCUGAUAACCCCCUGCAGAAAUAGAUAAACACCAAAACUCGUGGAAUUCUAUCAGAUAAAACCCUAAGUCUGGGUGUUGGUUGCAUUUGGAUCCUUUUCUUUAUUUAUUUGUUGAUUAUAUUUGGUACUUAAGGACCGUCAACAACUCCCCCAAGCUUACCUCUUGCUCGUCCCUGAGCAAGGAUGGACUCAAGAGUUUCUGCAGUGGUUUCAUGCCUUAAAGGUACACAUGCGUUUAAACAAGAUCUCAUCUUUGGGCUAGGGUAAACUAUUAAGAUUUAAAACAUACUCAUUUUACCUUUCACCAUGGGGCUUGUAACCGUCACUUGAAUCUUGAGCAGUUAAAAGAUAGAACGGUCAAGUCAAGCGCCAUUUCUCUUGUUCUUUGAUCAACUAUAGCUCUAGAGUUUUUGCAGAUUUUCAAAAAAAACUCAGAGAUUCCUUGUAUGACUCUCUCAAUUCUCUCUUUUGUGGUAUUUCUAGAUCCUUACUAAGGCAGUGAUGGCAUAUGCCUUCCCUCAAAGCAUGUGGUAUUUGUAGUAUGAGGCAUAGUGAUAUUGCCUUCUCUCUCAUCCUACUCUAAUAAGGCUUUGAUAUCUGGAGCUCAUAGGUGGGAGAUAAAGUAUACAUACUUACAAGACAUUUAUUGCAUAGUCAAACCAUGGAUCCAGAAGAAGUCAAUAAGUCAAAUCAAGAUGUGCUUGUGUGGCGAAUGAAUGGUGUAUGGUGAUGAUGGUGAUAACAAUGAUGAAAGCCUAAUUCUACUUUUGCUCUUUUGAGGGGAUACAUACCUUCCUUGCUUUCUAAAACUUUAUGAGGAGAAUGAGAUGCUCUUCUUUUUCUUUUUCUUUCCUCUCAGGUGGGUAUCUUGUACCCCAAAUUAUACUGUCGGACACUUGUCCAUUUUUUCCUCUCGUCUCACUUUUUCUUUUCUUUCGAGGUUCCGGGCACUUGCCGCUUUUUAUUUCCUCGUAUCUCUUUUUUUUAUUUUAGAGCACUCAUCUCUUGAGAUAAUAUAGCAAGUGGUAGUAACUAGAUAACUUGAGCAUUUAUUUCACAAGGGAAAAACAGAAAUAUUUUUGGCUAUUCUCUCCCGGAUGAGGAGUAGAAUAUUUUUGGGUGGUUCUGGAGAUGGAAAUGAGUGGAUAUAUGUGGUGAAAGUCUAAUUCUACUUUUGCUCUUUUGAGGGGAUACAUACCUUUCUUGCACUUUGAAGCUUUUUGAGGGGAACGAGAUGCUCUAUAUUUUCUUUUUCUUUUCUCUCAGGUGGGUGUCUUGUACCCCUAAUUCUAUUGUCGGACACUUGUCCAUUUUUUACCUCUUGUCACACAUUUUCUUUUCUUCGAGGUUUCGGGCACUUGCCUCUUUUUAUUUCCUCGUAUUUUUCUUUUUCUUCUUUUUUUAGAGCACUCACCCUCCUAGAAUAAUGUAGCAAGUGGUAGUAACCAAAAUAUCUCGAGCAUUUAUUUCACACGGAAAAACACGAAUGGGAUAAUGUUUUUGGCUAUUCUCUCCCGGAUAGGAGUAGAAUAAUUUUGGGUGAAUCUAGUCCUUAGGAGUGCCUCAGGGUCGGAGAUGUAGUUUUUCGGCAAAGAGAAACCAGGCAUACACUAUUCCUCCUGUUUCAUCCACAACAGGGAGAAAAUAGGCAGAGUUAUCCUACAUAACAAUUGACUCAUUACGCACAUCAGAUUACUUGAUUAUAUUAAUCUAGAAUCAUUUUCAUAUUAGCCUUCCCCGGCAACGGUGCCAGAAAUGCUUGUUGGCAUUUCUUAACGUCAUCACUAAGAACAGGGUUUAAUCCGUCCUUAGCAACGAUGUCAGAAAUGUCGUGAUAACACUUACUAAUGCAAUCACCAAGAUUAGAGUAUAAAUCUAUCCUAAGCAACGGUGCCAGAAAUGCUUGUUAGCGUUUCUUAGCGUCACUACCCAGAAUAGGGUUCUGCUCUACUCAUGAUAAUGACAUUGGCAGUGUUAUAUUGGCAGAUCCGUAGCAUCACCACCUUGAAUAGGAAACUAGAUCAACCUUCCCGAUAACGGCGCCUUAUUACCGUUAGGGUUGGGUUCCAGUUCUUAAUCAUGGCAGUGGCACUAGGAUUGCCAUGUUGGUAUUCCUUAACAAGUCACUACCUCAGCGCAUGUCUAGCAACAGUGUUAAGUAUAUACCGGGGUGAUAGUUCCUUAGGUUUGGAGUUCAAGUACCGCAAGCAGACGGGAAUUAUCGUGUAGCAUUUCAACCCGGGGAUUUACCGAGUGUCGUAUUUAUAGGUUCGCUCUAAGGAAGGCUUAAUAUGUUAAGGAUUCUAAGAUAAGCAUAGAUCAAAAUAAUUAUGAUAGCAAUAAUGGAAUCAAAGGUCAUAGCAGGUGAUAAACAUUUAUAUGUAGAAUAGUGAUCCAUCACAAUAUAGGCAUGGCAUAUGGGCUAAGGAAUAAAAAGAGACUAAAAGAAUGAAUUGAAUCAAAGAAUAAACAAACAACCUAUUGGAGCAGGUGUGGUCCUAGAUACAGAUCAUGUCAUAGAACAAGUUAAUCAUGUAAUUAUACUACUUAGAUAUAGUCCUAUGUUUAGAUGGUUUGGGAGGUUACGCGAGUACUGGUCUGCCAGCAACCUCCGCAACUAUUUAGACUCCUACACCACCUGCCACCAUCCCCUCAACCGUGGACUAGGACAAUGCAUUUACCCGGCCUUUACACCCAAGCACCAUGCUUACAUGCAAAGAACCUACUCGGACUCCCCCGGGUCCCCGACCCUACGGAUCGACCGGUAAUAAGCCCAAGCCUAAUCAAAAGAGCAUGAUAAACCCCCAUCUUCACACAAAGCUAUUUCUAGGCAAUUUAUUAACAUGAAGCAAUUAGACUAAAGUCCUAAGUGAGAAUAAUACAACAUACACUUAGCACUAGUUCAUAUAAUACACUACUAGCCCUAGGGUAGCAUUAUACUAUAAGAACUAUAUACUAAAAUGUAUAUCAUAUCAUUUCUACUAGAACUAUAUUCUAGUUCAUAUGCUAGCAUCAUAAAACAUGGCCUAUGAUCUAUAUCAUAUACCAUAGCAUAAGAACUAUACUCUAGUUCAUAUGAAGAACUAUAUCGGACAUGAUAAGGCAUGGACUUGGAGUAAAGAUAUUCUUUAUUCAUACCCAAGUUUCUCUCCAAGGAGCCAAGCCCUCCUUGAUAGCUCACCGAACUCUUUCUCUAAAAGCUAAAAUGAAAAACUAAGAAGAGGUAGUGCCCAAGUGCCUUGAAGGUGGAGUGUUGAUUAUGAAUGUGAUGAGAUGAAUGGAGCCUCCCUCUCCCCCUCCUUAAAUAGGUGGGGAAGGUCGGUUCCCCAGGGUGUAAACUGCAAUUUGCACGCAGGGACUACAGGAGGAUAGGCUCAGCACCGCCUCUGCGAAAGGCGGUGCCGAGAUGGGCUGGGUCAGGGUCGGCCGACCCUAGGGGGCGGCCGCCCCCUGGUGGGCCCCGCUGGCCCGGCCCGAAACCCGUUGCCUUCCUCUUGGGCCCCUGAGUCCAGAUCCACCUGCAAAUUGAUGCACUUUUAUAUUGGGCUUUUGGGUACUUGUUUAUUUGCGCAUUUUUUGACGUGUCAUAUUGCGCCUUUUUAUUUGCUUUCCACCUGUAUGCACGUAUAUGAUCUGCAAAACACAACUUGCACUACAUGUGGAACUUGGUAAGCAUUUAAUAAGUAUAUGUGAGUAAAAUACAUGCUUUUCUUCCUUUGCAUGGACUAUGUUGGCGGGGGGAAUAUGUCAUUAAGAACCGCCAACAAACUCCCCCAAACUUACCCCUUGCUCGUCCUCGAGCAAGAAGCUAAGAUCUUGGUUGUUGAUAAGGAGUUGCUACAAUAUUUUCACUUCUAUCUAGUACAUACCUUCAAACAAGAAUUCUCCUUUGAAUUUUGAACAGAUAUGUCAUGGGGCUUAUUGCUCAUACCAUGGGUCCUUAAGCAUUUGCAGGAUGGAUUUGAUCAGAUCGAGCGCUAUGUCCCCAAUUCUACUGUUGGGCACUUGCCCAUUUUUUUUAUUUUUUUGAGGUUCCGGACACAUGUCCCUUUUUAUUUCCUCGUGAUCUUUUUUUUGAGGUUUCGGACACAUGUCCCUUUUUAUUUCCUCGGAUGUUUUUUUUCUUUUUCAUAGCCAUAUGCCUUCUAACAAACUUUUGAGAUGAUAACAUAAUGAAAUAUUUUUGUUUUCAAUGGUAUGACAACCUCUCAAAGGGUCAACAAAGCUUAAUCUAACUCAAUGUGAUUAUUUUAUUUUUGUAAAAACUCCAGAACUCUAGCGUUGUUUAGAACAGGAUACUAGCAACUCAAAUCAUCACAAAUAUAUCCAUUAAUUACUUUAGACUUUAGAUAGAGCAUUUUGGAACCCACGCAUUUAAUCAUUUUAUUAAUUUGGAGAAUUCAAGGUUGAAACUAGAUACUGGAAAGAAAUUACGAUAGAGCAACUAUUCAUCAUUUCAACAAGGAAGAAGCAUAUAUCUUACAUCACAUAUAAGAGUGGAAUUAUAUUUUUGUCUUUUUAGAAUUUUUCAUUUUUUUCAUAUGCAAUAAUUAAAACAUGAAUUUAACUAAUGGAAAUUUCAUAAAGUAAACAUGCUAAUUUAAAAUUAAGGAUGCAUGAAAAUAAAUAUGCAAUGCAGAUAACCUCGGGAUUGGGGGUCCUCCCCCAAGCUAGCUUCUGGCUUACUGAUCGGGGUUGUACCCCAUGUACCGCCAGAAGUCUUGGGGCUGUUUCAGCAGCUGAUCUUGGUGAGCUUGCAUUUCUUCUUGCUGCUGCUGGUGCCAGGCCUGUUGUUGCUGUUGCCAUAGCAACCCUUGCUGGUGCCACUCCACGGCCUGCUGGUGGUGCGCAUCGGUGGUUUGGAUGUGUUGUUGGAGAGUAUCCUGGAUCUCAUCCGUGCGCACCACCAGUCCCCCAAGCUGAGCUUGGAGGCGCUCCAAGUCGGUUCGGCCUACUAUGGAGGCCGAAGGAUAUUCUUCUGGUGAUUUGGCCCUCCAGCGCGAUUGUUGUUCCCAAGCGCUGGAAUCCGCCUCAGCCCACCCCUCAAAACCAUGUGUCGGCAUGGGUGUGUCCCACCCCGACUGGUAGAUCGGCUGUGUAUAGGAGGGUGGUGGCUGGGAGCUGGAUCCACCGAUGUCCCUGCCAGAAACACUACGCCUUCGCGCAGUUUCAGCUGUCUGCAGAUCAAAGGUUAGUCUCCCAGAGUUAUACAAGCGUAGACCCGGGUUAGGUAACCGGAUUACGUUUGUAUACCCUGAGAAAUAAAACACAAGACCGCCCGCAUUAUCUCUUUUCAAAUGGUGACCUUGGAUAAGAUAGGUUUCAUUAAUCAUGGUGCGUGGAAUUUGAAUAUAAUCAAGAUCUUGCCCUUCCAAUGCACCAAUGGUCGUGGCCACACGUGUUAUGAGUGAAGUCAAAGAGAUAGGGGUGUUUGUCUUGAUUAUAUCUAACCAAUGCCUUACAAUUUCUUGCACAGGCGCAACUUUUAUUUUCAUUCUAGCCGCGUAAAGUAACCUCAUUUCAUUUACUCGCACAACGCGGGUAUCCUGGCUAGGAAACAUUGUUAUGGAUAGCCAAAGGUGUAAAAACCUUAGAGUGGGGUGUUGGAUGUGGGCAUUUCUAGGAUAGUAUUUUCUAGUGUGAACUUGCCCCGUGAUUUCUUCCCAAAACUUAUCCUUAUUAAACCCUUUUGUGGCAUGCACUAAAUCAAGAGAGCAUCUUUGAUGAAAACCAAGCUAUUUGCUUAAGUCUUUCCAAAAGAUAGCAUAUUCAUUUCCAAAUAAACGAACAGAAAUACCUUCAUAUGUUUCUCUUAAAGUGCAUAGGAAUUGAAUGGUAAGGGUAUAGGAUCCAUACUCAGUUAUGGGGUGAAUGUUGUCCCACCCAGCGGCUUUCCAUAUGGAGAGGAAUUCAGAGUCCAUACCGAUGUCGGAGAGGAGCGAGUCGUCGUAGACCGGCGUAUGGAGGAAGAUCCGGUCCUUGAGCAUGUUGUAGGCUUGAUGUUCUCGAUCACCCACCAAGUCGAAUUGGUGGGCUCCUCCUUCUUCUUCUUGUUCCUCCUCUUGUUCCUCUACCUCUUCCUCUACCGCCUCGAUCUCCGGGGAUUCUUCCUCAGCGGAAGGACUCCAUGGAGAUCGGUGUAGUAUGAGGAAGUGCUCCGAUAGGGUCGCUUCGAGGAUGACCUCAUGAAUCUUUUAAACGCCCCCGAAACUGUUUUGCCGAACCUUUUCAUGGUGCAAUGCUUGCAGCAGUGGAUAGCUAGCUUGGAUAGGUGAUUUUUUUGUGAGGUUUCUGCUGGUGGUUGGUUCGAAAUAGCAAAGAUGUGAAAGUGUUGCUUGGAGAGUGAAGAUGGAAGUGAUGAAGUAAAGUGAGAAUGGGUGGAGGGGGCCACACCCGAACCCCUUGUAUUUAUAGUUUGAAAAUGCAGGUGGAUUCGGGGUGAGGGCAACGGCUAGGAGCCUCCCCCAGCUGGCCGUUGGCUACAGCCGUUGGGGGGGGGCGGCCGACCCUAGGGGCGGCCGCCCCCUGGUGGGCCCCGUUGCUCCCCAGCUUUUGUCUCCAUCUUCCAACGGCUAGUUUUUGAAGUUUUCCGUUGGCAUAUUGAUGCACUUCCAGCUGAAAAAUGACUUUUGCAAUUUCCAACAUUUAUUUGUAAAACUUUUAUUUUUGAAUAAUUUAGAAAAAAUAUUUUUCUAUUAUUUUAUUUUAUUUCCUAGCUGAAAAUGAAUUUUUGAAUAUUUUUCAAAUUAUACAUAUAUAUAUAUAUUUUUAAGAUAACUACCGAUUACAUUCGGCGGAGGCUCAAAAAAAAUGUUUAUAGUCCUUUUUGAGAAGGACUCUCUUCCGUCGUUUGAAUUUCACCCUGCAUGAUUAGUGGGAGAGUUCUCGGGUUGCCCCGGGAGUCUACCCGCAUUCUCAGUAGGAAUUGCAGCGGCGAUCUGAGCUAGUUGUGUUUCUAUCAUUUUAUUAAAUCUCAGUUGGUUUUGUACGGAAGAGGCAAGGUUUUCUAUUUUUGUAUUUAUGUUUUCUAAAACCUUAUCAUUGGACAACAACUUUUUAGUUAAGUUUUCAUUUAUUUUAGCUUGUCCAUGAACUAGGUAUUUUAAUGAAGGUUGAUUCGAAUUAAAACUCGAAUUACCUUGGAAUGAAGAGCGUGACAGAUUAUUCCAACCAUUACCUUGGUUGGCGCCUCCUUGUUGGCGAAACCCGUUGUUGAUGUAGCAGCGUCUUCAUGGGUUUCGGGGCAAUCAUUCCCCGAAUGACCAACUUCUCCACAGACCUCGCACGUCAUGUGCGAGUCUAUGGCCUUCACCGAGUUCGAGGGGUUCUCUUGGUUCUUCUCGGUGAGUUGCUUCAUCAAUAAAUCUAUUCUUGCGGCAAGCAUAUCCGUCUCCUUCACGGUAUGCAUGCCUUUUUGUAUUUUGGCAGCUGGUGGUUGAGUUCUGUCCUCCCCCCAGCUCUGGUGUUCUACCAUCUUCUCGAUCAGGGCCUUGGCCCCGGCGGUGGUAAGUGAUAGGAACGCACCUCCAGCGGCGGCGUCUAGGUGUCCCUUCGACAUGGCGUGAGCCCAUUGUAGAAGUUCUGGAGCACCAUCCAGUUCUCUAUGCAGUGAUGGGGGCAGCUUAGGAUGUACUCUUGUAGCCCCUCCCAUGCUUCAGAGAUCGUUUCGCUGGCAUUUUGUUGAAAAUUGGCAAUCCUUCCCCUCAAAGCAUUGGUUUUGCUUAUGGGGAAGAACUUGGCGAGGAAUGCCGCGGAGCAUUUUGCCCACGUGGUGGCAGCUUCCAUAUCUUGAUAGAACCACCUCUUUGCCUUCCCCACGAUGGAGAAAGGAAAGAGGCGGAGCCGAAUGACAUCAGGAGUGAUGUCCUUGAUGACAAUCGUGUCACAUAGCUCUAGGAAGUGUUGAAGGUGUGCUUUCGCAUCCUCGCUUGGCAAGCCACAGAAUGGGCUCGCCUGCACCAUGGUGAUCAGGCCGGUGCGUAGCUCGAAGUUCUUGCCGGCCGUGCCAACAGUGGGGCCAGUGGCCACGUUGGUGACAGCGGGUACGGAGAACUCGCGGAGUGUCUUCUUGGCGGCCAUGAGUUCGUUCGGGGUUGGUGCGAUACCGGCUGGUUCACUUGUCGGUGGAGUAGCAGAAGACGAAAUAGUUCGAGACCGUCAAGUCCUUAGGAGUGCCUCGGGAUCGGAGAUGUAGUUUUCCGGCAAAGAGAAACCAAGCAUACACUAUUCCUCCUGUUUCAUCCACAACAGGGAGAAAACAGGCAGAGUUAGCCUGCAUAACAAUUGACUCAUUACGCACAUCAGAUUACUUGAUUAUAUUUAUCUAGAAUCAUUUUCAUAUUAGCCUUCCCCGGCAACGGCGCCAGAAAUUCUUGUUGGCAUUUCUUAACGUCAUCACUAAGAACAAGGUUUAAUCCGUCCUCAGCAACGAUGUCAGAAAUGUCGUGAUAACACUUACUAAUGCAAUCACCAAGAUUAGAGUAUAAAUCUAUCCUAAGCAACGGUGCCAGAAAUGCUUGUUAGUGUUUCUUAGCGUCGCUACCUAGAAUAGGGUUCUGCUCUACUCAUGAUAACGACAUUGGCAGUGUUAUAUUGGCAGAUCCGUAGCAUCACCACCUUGAAUAGGAAGCUAGAUCUACCUUCCUGAUAACGGCGCCUUAUUACCGUUAGGGUAGGGUUCUAGUUCUUAAUCAUGGUAGUGGCACUAGGAUUGCCAUGUUGGUAUUCCUUAACAAGUCACUAGCUCGGCGCAUGUCUAGCAACAGUGUUAAGUAUAUACCAGGGUGAUAGUUCCUUAGGUUUGGAGUUUAAGUACCGCAAGCGGACAGGAAUUACCGUGUAGCAUUUCAACCCGAGGAUUUACCAAGUGUCAUAUUUACAGGUUCGCUCUAAGGAAGGCUUAAUAUGUUAAGGAUUCUAAGAUAAGCAUAGAUCAAAGUAAUUAUGAUAACAAUAAUGGAAUCAAAGGUCAUAGCAGGUGAUAAACAUUUAUAUGUAGAAUAGUGAUCCAUAACAAUCUAGGCAUGGCAUAUGGGCUAAGGAAUAAAAAGAGACUAAAAGAAUGAAUUGAAUCAAAGAAUAAACAAACAACCUAUUGGAGCAGGUGUGGUCCUAGAUACAGAUCAUGUCAUAGAACAAGUUAAUCAUGUAAUUAUACUACUUAGAUCUAGUCCUGUGUUUAGAUGGUUUGGGAGGUUACACGAGUACUGGUCUACCAGCAACCUCCACAACUAUUUAGACUCCUACACCCUAGCCGAACGUGGGGGAAUGCCAAGGACAGACAGGGCUGUCACCACCUGCCGCCAUCCCCUCAACCUUGGACUAGGACAAUGCAUUUACCCGGCCUUUACACCCAAGCACCAUGCUUACAUGCAAAGAACCUACUCGAACUCCCCCGGGACCCCGACCCUACGGAUCGACAGGUAAGAAGCCCGAGCCUACUCAAAAGAGCAUGAUAAACCCCCAUCUUCACACAAAGCUAUUUCUAGGCAAUUUAUUAACAUGAAGCAAAUAGACUAAAGUCCUAAGUGAGAAUAAUACAACAUACACUUAGCACUAGUUCAUAUAAUACACUACUAGCCCUAGGGUAGCAUUAUACUAUAAGAACUAUAUACUAAAAUGUAUGUCAUAUCAUUUCCACUAGAACUAUAUUCUAGUUCAUAUGCUAGCAUCAUAAAACAUGGACUAUGAUCUAUAUCAUAUACCAUAGCAUAAGAACUAUACUCUAGUUCAUAUGAAGAACUAUAUCGGACAUGAUAAGGCAUGGACUUGGAGUAAAGAUAUUCUUUAUUCAUACCCAAGUUUCUCUCUAAGGAGCCAAGCCAUCCUUGAUAGCUCACCCAACUCUCUCUCUAAAAGCUAAAAGGAAAAACUAAGAAGAGGUAGUGCCCAAGUGCCUUGAAGUUGGAGUGUUGAUUGUGAAUGUGAUGAGAUGAAGGGAGCCUCCCUCUCCCCCUCCUUAAAUAGGUGGGGAAGGUCAGUUCCCCAGGGUGUAAACUGUAAUUUGCACGCGAGGACUGCGGGAGGAUAGGCUCAGCACCGCCUCUGCGAAAGGCGGUGCCGAGAUGGGCUGGGUCAAGGUCGGCCGACCCUAGGGGGCGGCCGCCCCUGGUCGGUCCCGCUGGCCCUGGCCCGAAGCCCGUUGCCUUCCUCUCGGGCCCCUGAGUCCAGAUCCACCUGCAAAUUGAUGCGCUUCUAUAUUGGGCUUUUGGGUACUUGUUUAUUUGCGCAUUUUUUGACGUGUCGGAUUGCGCCUUUUUAUUUGCUUUCCACCUGUACGCCUGUAUAUGAUCUGCAAAACACAACUUGCACUACAUGUGGAACUUGGUAAGCAUUUAAUAAGUAUAUGUGAGUAAAAUACAUGCUUUUCUUCCUUUGCACGGACUAUGUUGGCGGGGUAAAUAUGUCAUUAAGAACCGCCAACACCCGUUCAGCCUACCGUUCGUUCCCGUGGCAUCUGGAGUCUUCUAGAUGAUAGAAAAUUGUGCGACACAUUAAUAUCUCUAUGUAAACCCGACAUGUGGGCCUUUCCUCCAUGUUUCCUGAUAUCCCCGUGCAGAAAUAGACAAACACCAAAACUCAUGGAAUUCUAUCAGAUAAAACCCUAAGUCUGGGUGUUGGUUGCAUUUGAAUCCUUUUCUUUAUUUAUUUGUUGAUUAUAUUUGGUACUUAUGGACCGUCAACAACUCCCCCAAGCGUACCUCUUGCUCAUCCCUGAGCAAGGAUGGACUCAAGAGUUUCUGCAGUGGUUUCAUGCCUUAAAGGUACACAUGCGUUCAAACAAGAUCUCAUCUCUGGGCUAGGGUAAACUAUUAAGAUUUAAAACUUACUCAUUUUACCUUUCACCAUGGGGCUUGUAACCGUCACUUGAAUCUUGAGCAGUUAAAAGAUAGAACGGUCAAGUCAAGCGCCAUGUCUCUUGUUCUUUGAUCAACUAUAGCUUUGGAGUUUUUUUUGCAGAUUUUCAAAUAAAACUCAGAGAUUCCUUGUAUGACUCUCUCAAUUCUCUCUUUUGUGGUAUUUCUGGAUCCUUACUAAGGCAGUGAUGGUAUAUGCCUUCUAUCAAAGCAUGUGGUAUUUGUAGUAUGAGGCAUAGUGAUAUUGCCUUCUCUCUCAUCCUACUCUAAUAAGGCUUUGAUAUCUGGAGCUCAUAGGUGGGAGAUAAAGUAUACAUACUUACAAGACAUUUAUUGCAUAGUCAAACCAUGCAUCCAGAAGAAUAAGUCAAUAAGUCAAAUCAAGAUGUGCAUGUGUGGCGAAUGAAUGGUGUAUGGUGAUGAUGGUGAAGACAAUGGUGAAAGUCUAAUUCUACUUUUGCUCUUUUGAGGGGAUACAUACCUUUCUUGCACUUUGAAGCUUUUUGAGGGGAAUGAGAUGCUCUAUAUUUUCUUUUUCUUUUCUCUCAGGUGGGUGUCUUGUACACCUAAUUCUAUUGUCGGACACUUGUCCAUUUUUACCUCUUGUCACACUUUUUCUUUUCUUCGAGGUUCCGGGCACUUGCCCCUUUUUAUUUCCUCGUAUUUUUCUUUUUCUUCUUUUUCUUAGAGCACUCACCCUCCUAGAAUAAUGUAGCAAGUGGUAGUAACCAAAAUAUCUUGAGCAUUUAUUUCACACGGAAAAACAGGAAUGGGAUAAUGUUUUUGGCUAUUCUCUCUAGGAUAGGAGUAGAAUAAUUUUGGGUGAAUCUGGAGAUCGAAAUGAGUGGAUGUAUGUGGAUGCAUACUUCCGGAGUAGAAGCAGCAUAUAUAAGUGAAAGUGCAAGUGAAUCUUGAUUUUAACCGCAUGACAAGCUCCUAAGGGUCUACACAGCUUGACCACACUCAAUGCUCAUAAGCAUUAAAAAGUAAAUGUAUGGUUCAUAGUCUAAUAAGCAUGUAUAUAUGGUUGUGGUAGGAUUUUAAACUCUCAUCAUACAGGAACUCAUCAUGUGAUAUUUUAAAGAUUUUCAAACAUAAAAUUCUCCAGAAUUCUAGCAUCUCUAGAUAAACAGCAACUCAACCUUUCCAUAUUGUCGGUGUUUUCCCCCCGGGGGGUCACACGAACGAGUAAAACUUGUGUGCGUGCUCCCCUUUCCAGAUGGUGAUGCAAGAAAAGACAAAGAAUUAUCCUGGUUCGGGCAAGAGAAGGCCCUACGUCCAGCGGGGGGGGGGGGGGCAGGAGUGUUUGUAUUAUCUCGCACCUAAGUGCUUAUACAGGGGUGAAUACAAGUUUGUGUGGGUGGAAAGAUGAAGUAUGGUAGCUCUUCUACGUAUGUCUUGUGUUGUGUAUCCUCUCCUGGGCUUCCCCUUUUAUAGUUCUAAGGGGAGGCCUAGGUUACAUGCAUAGGCGACAGAGUAGGGGUCGAUAGGGGUGUGGCGCGCUGACCUACUCAAGGCCUCCGUACCGGUGUGGCCUCAAGCUGUCUUGUCUUGGUACCUUGAUGAUGAUUACACAUGCCCC
rnacentral:lncRNA from 1 species